rnacentral:rRNA from 1 species
GAUGAACGCUGGCGGCGUGCCUAAUACAUGCAAGUCGAGCGAACGGACGAGAAGCUUGCUUCUCUGAUGUUAGCGGCGGACGGGUGAGUAACACGUGGAUAACCUACCUAUAAGACUGGGAUAACUUCGGGAAACCGGAGCUAAUACCGGAUAAUAUUUUGAACCGCAUGGUUCAAAAGUGAAAGACGGUCUUGCUGUCACUUAUAGAUGGAUCCGCGCUGCAUUAGAUAGUUGGUAAGGUAACGGCUUACCAAGGCAACGAUGCAUAGCCGACCUGAGAGGGUGAUAGGCCACACUGGAACUGAGACACGGUCCAGACUCCUACGGGAGGCAGCAGUAGGGAAUCUUCCGCAAUGGGCGAAAGCCUGACGGAGCAACGCCGCGUGAGUGAUGAAGGUCUUCGGAUCGUAAAACUCUGUUAUUAGGGAAGAACAUAUGUGUAAGUAACUGUGCACAUCUUGACGGUACCUAAUCAGAAAGCCACGGCUAACUACGUG